rnacentral:rRNA from 1 species
GACGAACGCUGGCGGCGUGCUUAACACAUGCAAGUCGAACGGAAAGUCCCUGCUUUUGUGGGGUGCUCCAGUGGCGAACGGGUGAGUAACACGUGAGUAACCUGCCCUCGACUUUGGGCUAACUUCAGGAAACUGGGGCUACUACCGGACAGGAGCUCCUGCUGCAUGGUGAGGGUUGGCAAGUUUCGGCGGUAUGGGAUGGACCCGCGGGUUAUCAGCUUGUUGGUGGGGUAGUGGCUUACCAAGGCAUUGGCGGGUAGCCGGCCUGAGAAGGUGAACGGGGACCAUGGGACUGAGAGAGGGCCCAGUCUCCUACGGGAGGCAGCAGUGGGGAGUAUUACGCAGUGGGGGGACGCCUGAUACAGCGACGUCGGGUGCGGAAUGACGGCCUGUGGGUUGUAAACCGCUUUGGCCUGUGACGAAGCGUGAGUGACGGUAAUUGGUAAAGAAGCACCGGCUAACUACGUG